rnacentral:sRNA from 1 species
GCAAAAGCCCAUGACCGGUUCGACACCGGCGCGGUUGUACCAGGAGCGGUCGAAAAGGACGAACUCGCCGGCGGUCGGGA